CAGUAGCCGCGGGAAUACGUAGGUGGCAAGCGUUGUCCGGAAUUAUUGGGCGUAAAGGGCUCGCAGGCGGUUUCUUAAGUCUGAUGUGAAAGCCCCCGGCUCAACCGGGAGGGUCAUUGGAAACUGGGAAACUUGAGUGCAGAAGAGGAGAGUGGAAUUCCACGUGUAGCGGUGAAAUGCGUAGAGAUGUGGAGGAACACCAGUGGCGAAGGCGACUCUCUGGUCUGUAACUGACGCUGAGGAGCGAAAGCGUGGGGAGCGAACAGGAUUAGAUACCCGUGUAGUCCCUGUCUCUUAUACC
rnacentral:rRNA from 1 species